UGGGGAAUUUUGGACAAUGGGCGAAAGCCUGAUCCAGCCAUGCCGCGUGCAGGAUGAAGGCCUUCGGGUUGUAAACUGCUUUUGUACGGAACGAAAAGACUCUGGUUAAUACCUGGGGUCCAUGACGGUACCGUAAGAAUAAGCACCGGCUAACUACGUGCCAGCAGCCGCGGUAAUACGUAGGGUGCAAGCGUUAAUCGGAAUUACUGGGCGUAAAGCGUGCGCAGGCGGUUAUAUAAGACAGAUGUGAAAUCCCCGGGCUCAACCUGGGAACUGCAUUUGUGACUGUAUAGCUAGAGUACGGCAGAGGGGGAUGGAAUUCCGCGUGUAGCAGUGAAAUGCGUAGAUAUGCGGAGGAACACCGAUGGCGAAGGCAAUCCCCUGGGCCUGUACUGACGCUCAUGCACGAAAGCGUGGGGAGCAAACAGGAUUAGAUACCCUGGUAGUCCACGCCCUAAACGAUGUCAACUGGUUGUUGGGUCUUCACUGACUCAGUAACGAAGCU
rnacentral:rRNA from 1 species